CCUACGGGAGGCAGCAGUAAGGAAUAUUGGUCAAUGGACGCAAGUCUGAACCAGCCAUGCCGCGUGAAGGAUGAAGGCCCUCUGGGUUGUAAACUUCUUUUAUCUGGGACGAAAAAAGGGCUUUCUAGCUCACUUGACGGUACCAGAGGAAUAAGCACCGGCUAACUCCGUGCCAGCAGCCGCGGUAAUACGGAGGGUGCAAGCGUUAUCCGGAUUUACUGGGUUUAAAGGGUGCGUAGGUGGGUAAGUAAGUCAGUGGUGAAAUCUCCGAGCUUAACUCGGAAACUGCCAUUGAUACUAUUUAUCUUGAAUUAUCUGGAGGUAAGCGGAAUAUGUCAUGUAGCGGUGAAAUGCUUAGAUAUGACAUAGAACACCGAUUGCGAAGGCAGCUUACUACGGAUAUAUUGACACUGAGGCACGAAAGCGUGGGGAUCGAACAGGAUUAGAUACCCUGGUAGUCCACGCCCUAAACCGAUGGAUACUCGACAUCGGCGAUACACUGUUGGUGUCUGAGCGAAAGCAUUAAGUAUCCCACCUGGGAAGUACGACCGCAAGGUUGAAACUCAAAUGAAUUGACGGCUGAGAGNGCGACGACGACGACGAGGGAGGAGG
rnacentral:rRNA from 1 species